UUUAAAGUCUAAUCUGCCCUAUGAGGAGUUAAAUGGCCGCGGUAUUUUGACCGUGCAAAGGUAGCAUAAUAAUUAGUUUUUUAAUUGAAAGCUAGAAUGAAUGAUUGGACGAGAAAAUAACUGUCUCAAUUUAAUUUAAUUAGAAUUUUAUUUUUAAGUAAGAAAGCUUAAAUUUUAUUAAAAGACGAGAAGACCCUAUAGAGUUUUAUAUUUUAUAGAUUAUUAAUUUUUUAGUAUGAAUUUUAUUAAUAGUUUAUGAAUUAUUUUAUUGGGGCGAUAGAAAAAUAUUAUUAACUUUUUUUAAUAUAAUAACAUUAAUUUAUGAUUUUAUGAUCCAUAUAAGUAUGAUUAUAAGAUUAAGUUACCUUAGGGAUAACAGCGUAAUUUUUUUUUAGAGUUCUUAUCGAAAAAAAAGGUUGCGACCUCGAUGUUGGAUUAAAAUUAAUUUUAGGUGUAGUAGCUUAAUAAUUAGGUCUGUUCGACCUUUAAAAUUUUACA
rnacentral:rRNA from 1 species